UGUGUAGGAGGUCGGGUAAGUCAGGUGUGAAAUCUCAGAGCUUAACUCUGAAACUGCGCUUGAUACUGCUCGGCUAGAGGAUCGGAGGGGGUAACGGAAUUUAUGGUGUAGCAGUGAAAUGCGUAGAUAUCAUAAGGAACACCGGUGGCGAAGGCGGUUACCUGAGAUUCCUGACUCUGAAACACGAAAGCCAGGGGAGCAAACGG
rnacentral:rRNA from 1 species